UUUAUGGAGAGUUUGAUCCUGGCUCAGAGUGAACGCUGGCGGCGUGCCUAAUACAUGCAAGUCGAACGAUGAAGCUUCUAGCUUGCUAGAAUGCUGAUUAGUGGCGCACGGGUGAGUAACGCAUAGGUCAUGUGCCUCUUAGUUUGGGAUAGCCAUUGGAAACGAUGAUUAAUACCAGAUACUCCCUACGGGGGAAAGAUUUAUCGCUAAGAGAUCAGCCUAUGUCCUAUCAGCUUGUUGGUAAGGUAAUGGCUUACCAAGGCUAUGACGGGUAUCCGGCCUGAGAGGGUGAACGGACACACUGGAACUGAGACACGGUCCAGACUCCUACGGGAGGCAGCAGUAGGGAAUAUUGCUCAAUGGGGGGAACCCUGAAGCAGCAACGCCGCGUGGAGGAUGAAGGUUUUAGGAUUGUAAACUCCUUUUGUUAGAGAAGAUAAUGACGGUAUCUAACGAAUAAGCACCGGCUAACUCCGUGCCAGCAGCCGCGGUAAUACGGAGGGUGCAAGCGUUACUCGGAAUCACUGGGCGUAAAGAGCGCGUAGGCGGGAUAGUCAGUCAGGUGUGAAAUCCUAUGGCUUAACCAUAGAACUGCAUUUGAAACUACUAUUCUAGAGUGUGGGAGAGGUAGGUGGAAUUCUUGGUGUAGGGGUAAAAUCCGUAGAGAUCAAGAGGAAUACUCAUUGCGAAGGCGACCUGCUGGAACAUUACUGACGCUGAUUGUGCGAAAGCGUGGGGAGCAAACAGGAUUAGAUACCCUGGUAGUCCACGCCCUAAACGAUGGAUGCUAGUUGUUGGAGGGCUUAGUCUCUCCAGUAAUGCAGCUAACGCAUUAAGCAUCCCGCCUGGGGAGUACGGUCGCAAGAUUAAAACUCAAAGGAAUAGACGGGGACCCGCACAAGCGGUGGAGCAUGUGGUUUAAUUCGAAGAUACACGAAGAACCUUACCUAGGCUUGACAUUGAGAGAAUCCGCUAGAAAUAGUGGAGUGUCUGGCUUGCCAGACCUUGAAAACAGGUGCUGCACGGCUGUCGUCAGCUCGUGUCGUGAGAUGUUGGGUUAAGUCCCGCAACGAGCGCAACCCCCUUUCUUAGUUGCUAACAGGUCAUGCUGAGAACUCUAAGGAUACUGCCUCCGUAAGGAGGAGGAAGGUGGGGACGACGUCAAGUCAUCAUGGCCCUUACGCCUAGGGCUACACACGUGCUACAAUGGGGUGCACAAAGAGAAGCAAUACUGCGAAGUGGAGCCAAUCUUCAAAACACCUCUCAGUUCGGAUUGUAGGCUGCAACUCGCCUGCAUGAAGCUGGAAUCGCUAGUAAUCGCAAAUCAGCCAUGUUGCGGUGAAUACGUUCCCGGGUCUUGUACUCACCGCCCGUCACACCAUGGGAGUUGUGUUUGCCUUAAGUCAGGAUGCUAAAUUGGCUACUGCCCACGGCACACACAGCGACUGGGGUGAAGUCGUAACAAGGUAACCGUAGGUGAACCUGCGGUUGGAUCACCUCCUUU
rnacentral:rRNA from 1 species